GUUCGUCGAUAUGUUGAACU
rnacentral:snRNA from 1 species